AUUGAACGCUGGCGGCAUGCCUAACACAUGCAAGUCGAGCGGAUGAAGGGAGCUUGCUCCUGUAUUCAGCGGCGGACGGGUGAGUAAUGCCUAGGAAUCUGCCUGGUAGUUGGGGAUAACGUCCGGAAACGGGCGCUAAUACCGCAUACGUCCUGAGGUAGAAAGUGGGGGAUCUUCGGACCUCACGCUAUCAGCUGAGCCUAGGUCGGAUUAGCUAGUUGGUGGGGUAAAGGCCUACCAAGGCGACGAUCCGUAACUGGUCUGAGAGGAUGAUCAGUCACACUGGAACUGAGACACGGUCCAGACUCCUACGGGAGGCAGCAGUGGGGAAUAUUGGACAAUGGGCGAAAGCCUGAUCCAGCCAUGCCGCGUGUGUGAAGAAGGUCUUCGGAUUGUAAAGCACUUUAAGUUGGGAGGAAGGGCAGUAAGUUAAUACCUGGCUGUUUUGACGUUACCAACAGAAUAAGCACCGGCUAACUUCGUG
rnacentral:rRNA from 1 species